CUUCACAGAACUGCAGCUGAAGAACUUCAUCUCUUUCAUUUCUUUCAAUCUAAAACCACUGGAAUCAACCAGGUUGAAGAAUUGAAAUACUUUGAAGAAAGAACUCUGAAGAACUGAAGAACAUUGAAGGGAUGAGCAGGUGGUUUCUUGGGUACGGUUAUGGGUAUGCAAUGUCCUCGUCAACAGCUUCAUGAUUGGCUUGGUGGUGCCUUUGGAAGUGAUUCUUGUUAAUGGUGUGACUGAAAUCUUGAAUACAUUGCUCCCGCUGAUUUAUCAACAAGUUCGUCAGGCAUGGGAUGUUAAAGAUGACCUAAGGAAGCUUGGGAAAAGCUUGGAGUCAAUUCAAGCUUUGGUUUCUGAUACCGAGGAGAAACAAAUAACUGAUGCUACUGUCAGACUUUGGUUGAGAAGGCUAACUACAUCAGUUGUAGAUGAUUCUGAACUUAUUGGCAGGGAGGAUGCAGUAUCAGACAUCAUAAAGAUGAUGACUGUCAAACGGUUUCCUUCAGCAGUUGGCAUACCAGCACAAGUCGAUAGAAACACACUUCGAAAUAAAAAUGUACACGUAGUCUAACUAACGUGGCGUGGUUCAAGUGUUUGCUAGCUACAAAACCAAAUGCAGGCUCAGUUUUUCAUGCUCUAAACUUACUAAUUUCAUUGAUUUGAAUGACAAUAAUAAUUUUUCGUUGGAAUUUUGCAGUUUCUAAUAUUUCUUGGGAGGAGACCUUACUGACUGAAGGUGUUAGUGGUACUAUGAAGGUUUCAUUGGUGUUUCUUUCGGAUUAUUACAAAAUUCUUCAGGGGCAUCCCCUUAUAGAUGUAGGUGCUCUGCUUCUUUACAUUGGCUGCUACUAGAUAUCUUUUGCACCAAUUAGUUGGCUAAUGGUAUCCGAGAUCUUCCCCAUUCGUACAUGAGAACGUCAUGGGAUUCAUCAAUAUAGUCUUGUUGUUCUAAAAAAUUUUGGUGCAAAUGUUCUUGUAUUUUUUGCUCCUUGCUCCCUAAAGUUUCUGAGAAUCCAUUUGCUCCCAUCAAGAUUAGAGUUCAUGAAACAAUUAAAGGUGGGUGCUAAAAGAGAUGAUUUAUCAUCAGAAGAGGUUAUCCAGCCUUUAGUUUCUGAUGGAGGAGCUGCUGCAGUUCAUCAAGAUGAAGUUAUUUCACGAAAUCUUGAGUUUCUAGUGUAAAUCAACCCAUUUCUUCAUUUUUGUACAUGAGUUGAGGUUUGAGGUUCAUAUUCAUUGAAGUGGGUGUGAGAGUGUGUGCCAUGUAUUUUGUAGUGCGAAUUGCAUAGAGUAUUUGCUACUGCUUCCUAUAGAUUUGAAGUUUACCAUUUACUUAUUUGAAUCAUGCUUUCUUUUCUGGAUUCUAAGAGGAGACUAAGUUUUAUCUUCCGAGUGAUGACCAGGUAAUGUUUCCAGGUUCUUAUUGCCAGCUCUUGGCGUUUUAACUUUUUGGGUAUGAUAUUGGUGCCAUUUCAGGAGCUGCUAUCACUUUGCAGUCGCCAAAGCUUAGUGGGACAACGUGGUUCAAUAUGUCUUCCAUACAACUUGGUCUCGUGUGGAUUGUGAACUCUCUACGGUUGAGCAGACUCAUUCAUAGAAGCUUCUCUAUGGUUAUGACCGUGUGAAUGAUGAUAAAGAUGUUUCCAACAUCGAGGCCAAGAUGACUGAUGGUUGAUUGAAUGAUGAUAUGUUAUGAGAUCAAAAAUUAAGGUUGGAGAACAAAACAGCAGCCAUUAGGUCCCUUAGCAGGUGCAAGAUUUGUAACUUUAUGUAGUAUCUCCUUAUAGUGAUUUAAGUUAGAAGAACUUAGGAAUUUCGUAACUUUCCAUGAACUGAACUUAGGAACCAAGUAUGUUUCUAAUAUGUACACUAGUUUGUUGUGAUACUUAUAAAUUAUAAUACAUUUGUAUCAAAUACGCAUACUUUUUGUUAAAAC